UUAAUCAUGGGAGUAAUCUGGUCCGGACGAUAGUAUUCUCGCCUGAUAGUGCCUGCACGCACAUCCAGCUCUUCUAGUGCACGUCCUUCAGAGGUGGUGGUGGGGGGGGGAGGCUCAAUUCCCACGCCCCUGGUAAUGAUACUGUCGGCAAGGUGGCCUCCCUUAUGUAACCCUAAAGCAUGCUGUGGCAGAGCUGCUUUGAAGGCGCCACUCAUGGCCCAGACUUUGGGAUUAGAACAAGCCUCACACCAUGGCAGUAAGUUACAUGAACGUUCAUUGUCCUGCGGUUCCAAUGAAUGACCCGCAACCUCUCCUUCGUCACGGUUCGUCACGGUAGACAGAAAAACAAAAACAAAAACAAAACACACAAAGUAACUUUACCAUUGUCCAGGUUGAUGAGCCUUUACCUUCCUCCACAUUUUUCAUUUCCACAGCAUUUCUCUGCUUGUUGUUUCGCUAUAAGGACUUGCUGCAGUUCUUUUGCGAAUUGUGGAGUGUUCGCGAAUGAAGACUCUCUCCAGUCACGGACCUAUGGAGAUGACCAACCUCGAUUUCCCAUGUGUGCAGUGAACACGCCAUGAUCUACAAGAUGUGAGUGCAGAUCAUUCAGAGCCUUGCAUCGGAAUGGCACAGAGAGGGAUCUGAGAUAUCUCACUCCUUUGGAAAGAACAAAACCAGCUGUGGCCACUCAUGAAAUCUGCAUCACCACCUUCAAAAGCCUACAUCCCAUAAACUGAGUUCUAGACAGCAUCGGAAGUGGAUAUGAACAUUCAUCAGGGCCUUUCUCAUUGGUUACAAACAAAACUGAUACAUAGCCACCAUGUGUGAGCCAGCAGCGUACUCCAGUUGGAAGCUGUAGGGAGUGCAACCCCAACACUCAUUUUUUAUGCUUCUUUUGGCCUUGAAGUGUAGGAGCUACAUACUGCAGCAAGCAUCAAUCUUACUAAUGUCUCUGCAAUUCAGUGUUAAAGUAAGUAGAGGAUAAGUUAGAAGGUAAAAGAUAUUAUCUUAGAUAAGUUGCUAAUGGUCAAAGGGCAGCAAAAGGAUGAAGGAAAGUUAUCAAGGUGGCAGCUAGGGUUUGAAGUGGCGGCUAGGUUAAGGAUUCUAGGGUUUAGUUGGAUGAAAGUAUGAUGAAUGUUAGCCAAAAUGGAUGUAACCUCUACC
rnacentral:lncRNA from 1 species